rnacentral:rRNA from 1 species
UACGAAGGGGGCUAGCGUUGUUCGGAAUUACUGGGCGUAAAGCGCGCGUAGGCGGUUUUGCAAGCCAGAGGGGAAAUGCCUGAGCUCAACUUAGGAAUUGCCUUUGGGACUGCGAGGCUUUGAGGACUGGAGAGGUGAGUGGAAUUCCCAGUGUAGAGGUGAAAUUCGUAGAUAUUGGGAAGAACACCGGUGGCGAAGGCGGCUCACUGGCCAGUUUCUGACGCUGCAGCGCGAAAGCGUGGGGAUCAAACAGG